GCGGCCGAUGUCUGAUUAGCUAGUUGGUGGGGUAAAGGCUUACCAAGGCAACGAUCAGUAGUUGGUCUGAGAGGACGGCCAACCACACUGGGACUGAGACACGGCCCAGACUCCUACGGGAGGCAGCAGUGGGGAAUUUUGGACAAUGGGCGAAAGCCUGAUCCAGCCAUGCCGCGUGAGUGAAGAAGGCCUUCGGGUUGUAAAGCUCUUUUAGUCGGAAAGAAAGAGUUGCAAUGAAUAAUUGUGAUUUAUGACGGUACCGACAGAAAAAG
rnacentral:rRNA from 1 species